rnacentral:lncRNA from 1 species
CCCCCGUGUCCCCCCUGUGCAGUGUCACCCCCGUGGGGCUGUGUGCUCUGUCAGAGAAGGGGCAGUGGGGACCAUUUCUGGGGUCCCUUUUGGGGUCACGUCUGUGUGCGCACAGGACCCCCCCUGCUGCCACUGAAUGCCCACGGGGACACCGCAGCCAGACGUGGCCACCUCGGCAAGGGGACCCUGUGCCCCAGGGACACUGCACCAGAGGGGUGGCCGGGCUCUCCCUUCCUUCCCUGGGGGGCAUUUCCUCCCAGCACCCUGAUUUCCCGGCUGGGAAAACACCCCCCCCCCGGCAUCUUUUCCCUGCGGAUGUCCCCUCCUAACCUCCUGUCCGUGACCCCACAGGUUCCCUGGCAGCGAUGGAGGAAGGCGAGGAUGCCCCGGUGGGGGACAGGAGCCCCUCGGAGAGGGACGAGGCCACCUCGGACUGCGAGGGCUCCGCCGAGCGCGACACCUCCAGCCCCCCCGGCAGUGAAGAGUCCAGAGAUGCUCUGGAGAGCCCGAAGGAGCUGGAGAAGCCGGAUCCUGGUGAAAACCCCCAGGAACCAGAGAUCUGGAAUGGGCCAGGUGAGUCUCUGGUGUGGGGCCGGUCAUCCUGCUCCAUCCCAGUGUCCUGACUGGAUCUGCUGGAGCAGCUCUCAAGCGCUCACCUCCUCUUGGCAGCACCGGUAUGAGGAGGACUGGUAGCACUGGGAGCUGGGCAGGCUGCAAACCCCAGAACUCCUGCUGGAGGGGAGGUGUGAGGUGAUGGCUGUCAGCCCCGAC